CCAGGCCUUGACAUGCAGAGAACUUUCCAGAGAUGGAUUGGUGCCUUCGGGAACUCUGACACAGGUGCUGCAUGGCUGUCGUCAGCUCGUGUCGUGAGAUGUUGGGUUAAGUCCCGUAACGAGCGCAACCCUUGUCCUAGUUACCAGCACGUUAUGGUGGGCACUCUAAGGAGACUGCCGGUGACAAACCGGAGGAAGGUGGGAUGACGUCAAGUCAUCAUGGCCCUUACGGCCUGGGCUACACACGUGCUACAAUGGUCGGUACAAAGGGUUGCCAAGCCGCGAGGUGGAGCUAAUCCCAUAAAACCGAUCGUAGUCCGGAUCGCAGUCUGCAACUCGACUGCGUGAAGUCGGAAUCGCUAGUAAUCGUGAAUCAGAAUGUCACGGUGAAUACGUUCCCGGGCCUU
rnacentral:rRNA from 1 species